CAAAAGCACUUUCCAUUUCCUUUUCUUCUUCUUCUUCUUCUUCUUCUUCCCUGUUAAAUCAUCAUCAUAUUAGUUGGGUUUUUCGUAUGGAUUUUAUUAGGACAGAGUGAUAUGGUAAUGUUUUUCUAAAUCUAAUAACAUUUCAACAUUACCUGUGUCAGAUAUAUGUAUAUACAGGUAUAUAUAUCUCUGACACUCGUCCUAACUCAUCAUCAUCGUUCAUAUCAAUCCUGAUAAGGUUUGCAUUGCAAGGUUUUUUUUUUUUGUGAACCUUGUGGAAAUCCAGUCCUAGAGCAAAUUUCUGGAAAAAAUGACUGCAAUUGUAAAUCCAUUUCCCAGAGUACAAAGGAAUUUGAAAGGGUUUAUAAGAGUGCUCAAGUUUGCUGCUUGUGAAUGGAUUCUAAUCUUUUUAUUGUUCAUUGAUGCUGCCUUCUCUUACAUGGUCACAAGUUUUGCACAGUACUGUGAAUUGCAAAUCCCUUGCAUUCUAUGCUCUCGGCUUGAUCAUGUUUUCGGCAAUGCAAAAGAUGGAUUCUAUCGGACUCUGUUUUGCCGAAGUCAUAGAUCAGAGAUUUCAUUCUUGCUUUCCUGCAACAUCCAUGACAAGCUCGUCGAUAGCAGUGGCAUGUGCGAUGAAUGUCUCGCGUCGCAUGUCGAGGGAAAUGAAUCAAACUCCGAUAUGAAGAGACUCGUUUCAGGAAAUUUGGGUUAUGAUGGAAAUUGUUGUUCUCAAGUAGAUGAGGAUCUUACAUCUGCCUACAAAUUCACACGGUUGUGCCUAUGCUGUAAUAAACCAUGGAUUCCAAGACCAAGUUCCAAUAGAUCACUUCUCCUGAAAUCAUCCACGUCGGUUUCGAAGCCCAGCAUUCCUUUGCCUCGUAGCUUAAGUCCUAUAAAUGACUUGAAGAAGAUGAACGACACGGUUCCUAGGAAAACUGGAUUUGAGCACUUGUCUCACGUAGGAGACACUGAGGUGAAGAUCAGUUCUGAAUCCAAAUCCGCGUUCCCGGCUACUGAUAACGAUACUGGCGAUAGCAUAAAUCGUAAUAUAAACGAGAACAAAAAAGAACAGGCUGAUGAUCCUAAUGAAUCUCUUGAUCUUAGAUGCUUGGUUCCAGAGAUCGAGAAUGUGCUCAGUGAGCAUAAAGUGAAGGCUAAUUUUAAUGAACUACCUGAGCUUAUUUCUCUAGAUAAUUAUCCUCCUACAUCCUGUCUUAUGGAAGUUCCAAGUUUCAGUGCCUCAUUAUUAGCAGCUGAUUUUAUUUCUCAGGUUGAUGCUUCCAAUUCAAUUAAUGCUAAGGAUGUUCCUCUUGAACCAGAUAAUGAAAAUGUUUCUGUCAAUAAGAAUGAUGAGAUCUUGAAGUUGAUAAGUACGACAACCGGAGCUUGUUUCGAAACCAAUCAAGUUGCGGAUGAUACUGCCAUGCUAAAUUCGACCGAUGGAGAUCCGAGUGAACCUGAGUUUGUAACAAAACAUAUGCUAACAAACAAUAAUGGAGUUAAUGAAGAUCAUAAGUCAUUGCCAGUGGAGACUGUUUUUGAACCAAGUAAAACUGAGAGUGAUGAAAUCUCUAAGUUGAUAAGCUCGUCAACUCAAGCUGUUUUCGGAACUGACCGACUUGAGGAUGAUACCGCCAUCGUAAAUUCAACCGAUGGGGAUCGGAGUGCGGUGCAGGAGCUACCAGUCUGUGGUGAAGAAAAAAGUGCAUCCGAGUUUGUUACUGAACCUACGAAUGGAGUUAAUGGAGAAGUUAAGUCAUUGCCGGGGCAGAGCACUUCUAGAGAAGGGAUUCAUUUAUCAUUGAACAACUUAAGUCCUGAGUUACAAGAUCGUGCAGUUGAAUUGCUAAGAUCCGAAUCCAACUCCGAAGAGGUUCGGAAUCUUCAGAACCUGUUCUUUGAAGCAAUAAAUGACUCGCCUGGCCUCAAAUAUUUCGAAGAAAGCAGCGUCAUCGACGGCGAAAAUCCACUUGAUACGCUGAAACAAGAAGUUGACAAUUACAGGAACUACAUAAAUGCAUUAUCCAAAGAACUAGAUGAAGAAAGGAAUGCUUCUGCAAUUGCUGCAAAUCAGGCAAUGGCUAUGAUCACAAGGUUGCAAGAAGAAAAAGCAGCACUCCGUAUGGAAGCCCUGCAGUACCUAAGGAUGAUGGAAGAGCAAGCCGAAUUCGAUGUUGACGCCUUGGAGAAAGCUAACGAUCUUCUGACUGAAAAAGAGAAAGAAAUACAAGAUUUGGAAGCAGAGCUUGAAUAUUACAAAUAUAACUUCCCUGAUGAAACAUCGGAAGAGACCGAACCCGAGGCGAACAUCAACUUAGACAAGGAACAUGUUUCUAUGGAGAACAACACAAGCACAUGUUCCAAGCAAGAUGAUAUGAAAUAUCCCUUGGAAACAAUGUUGCCCGAGGCUAGUACCGUCGUUGACGAUCAUCCCGUAGUCAUAACCGCAUGGUCGGAAAUCGAAGAUGAGAAGUCGUACAUCUCUCAGUGGCUACAAAAGUUGGAGAAGAAACUUAACAUGCUUGCUCAGUAUGGGACAUCAUCGCCACAAAACUCUGAUGGAGGCCGAGAAGAAAAGGAUCAUACACCAGUACAGGAAGCUUCAUCAAUAGCUAAUGGAACCGGUGUUUUCCAAGAAACUUCAAUAAGCAAAGAUGAAGAAGAAAAUGGUGAUACGGUUUCCAAUGGGCAGGAAGGUUCAGAAGAUUGUGGAGAAAUUAGCUUAGAUGCUCUUGAAAAUGAAAUUGCAGAACUUAAUGAGAGGUUGGAAGCACUUGAAACUGACUGUAGUUUUCUUCAACGUUCUCUAAAUGCUCUCAAAAAUGGAAAAAAGGGGCUGCUAUUAAUUCAAGAGAUACUUCAUCUGUUACGAGAAGUAAAGAAAUUUGGGUUAAAGACAAUGAACCUUUCUGUUUUAUGAGCUCAAUGUGGACAGACUGCGUAUCAUCAUUACAGAAGAUGUGUCCCAAAUUGAGGGCAACUGACCAGAAGCAGAAGCGAGGCAUGUCAGCAUGAGAUAUGAAACAAACAUUGCAGAACACAGAACUGGUUAUCUCUCAGCUUAUAAAGAAAAUGGGAGUUGUCAUAGAAAGAUUUAGUAUUGAAGAUGGAUAAUUAGUUUUUCGCAUGCGUUUAUUUCGAUAGAGUAAAUCUGACCACAACAAUUGGAUGUACAUUUGAAUGUCACCAACAAAUAGCAAUGAGAUUUAAUAGAAAUAUCUCGUUUGAUGAUACGAAAGGAAUGAAUAGUGCAAAAAUUGUUAGACAUUGUGGUAAAAGGAUCUCGAAACUUUUCUAUAAGUUUCCAGUUUCGAUAGAUCCCAUUAAAUUCAUCGAGAUGAAACUUCUAGACGAUGGAGACAGUGGUCGCUCUUUAUUGUGGGAAUCAGGGCGACCAAAAUGCACCAGUUCAGUUACUUGCUGAGUUAGUUAAUGUGGAGAGAACUGAAGAUCUCACUCCAUUAGGUGAAGAACAUGGAGCUCAAGAGCCGUGUUUGAUGGUUCCAAUAUCGUAUGUUUAUAGUUAAUCGACUGUAUGUGGAAUCGAUAUUAAUCUUAAUGUUGCACCCGAGACUGAUGCGAUUGGUGAUGAUGGAUGCGGUAGUAGUGAUCCUUUUGAUCAUGAGGUCGAUAGUGAUAGUAAUCCCAAUAUGGACGAGGUUUCGGAUGAUAUUGACAAUAAAGGUGUGAAUGAUAAUAGAAAUGUUAACGCGUCUUCAUUCGGGAGCUAGAUUCGACGUAUUGUAAUACAGAAUAAUCUUGGGGCAUGCAUGUCGCUUAUAGACCCUGAUGCGACGUAUACAACCAAGUUCCCGAAAUAUCCUGAUAUAUUACCUGCUCACCUUAUGACCGUAGAUUCUGAUCCUAAUGAGUUGUUCGUGGGCCAAAAAUUCAAAAGCAAGGAAGAGUGCAUAUUUGCCAUUAAGCGGUAUAGCAUGAAUGUGUCAGUGGACUACAAAGUCGCCGUGUUUAAACCAACAUUAUAUAUUGGGGAGUGUUGGAGGUCGAUGAAAGGCUACAAUUGGUGGGUACGAGUCAAGAAUGGCAUUCGGUAAAGAGCCCAAGACUGCAGCAAUAUGAGGCAUCCACCUAUGUCCACGGCAGAAGGCUUUGUCAUCCGACAAAACUCGCUAUACAACAUAGUUAGUACUACGGAACCCCAACUAUAAGAAUAAACAUUACGCAAAUAAGUUAAUAGGGGUAAGUACAUCAAAUGGAUCUUAUUGUUGUUUACAUUUGGCAUGAAUACACCCCCUAUAAUGUGCAUAAUGUAUGUUCGAGUGGUACACAUCACCUCCCACUCAGUGGAAUUAAUUGAUAAAUGCUUAAAAUUGGCCU